rnacentral:rRNA from 1 species
GAUGAACGCUGGCGGCGUGCCUAAUACAUGCAAGUCGAGCGAACAGACGAGGAUCUUGCUCCUCUGACGUUAGCGGCGGACGGGUGAGUAACACGUGGAUAACCUACCUAUAAGACUGGGAUAACUUCGGGAAACCGGAGCUAAUACCGGAUAAUAUAUUGAACCGCAUGGUUCAAUAGUGAAAGACGGUUUUGCUGUCACUUAUAGAUGGAUCCGCGCCGCAUUAGCUAGUUGGUAAGGUAACGGCUUACCAAGGCGACGAUGCGUAGCCGACCUGAGAGGGUGAUCGGACACACUGGAACUGAGACACGGUCCAGACUCCUACGGGAGGCAGCAGUAGGGAAUCUUCCGCAAUGGGCGAAAGCCUGACGGAGCAACGCCGCGUGAGUGAUGAAGGUCUUCGGAUCGUAAAACUCUGUUAUUAGGGAAGAACAAAUGUGUAAGUAACUAUGCACGUCUUGACGAUACCUAAUCAGAAAGCCACGGCUAACUACGUG